rnacentral:rRNA from 1 species
AGUCGACGGCGCGCGGGGCACCUGGCGGCGAGUGGCGAACGGGUGAGUUUAUAUCGGAACGUGCCCUGGAGUGGGGGAUAACGCAGCGAAAGUUGCGCUAAUACCGCAUACGAUCUAAGGAUGAAAGCGGGGGAUUCGCAAGAACCUCGUGCUCCUGGAGCGGCCGAUAUCUGAUUAGCUAGUUGGUGGGGUAAAGGCCUACCAAGGCAUCGAUCAGUAGCUGGUCUGAGAGGACGACCAGCCACACUGGAACUGAGACACGGUCCAGACUCCUACGGGAGGCAGCAGUGGGGAAUUUUGGACAAUGGGCGCAAGCCUGAUCCAGCAAUGCCGCGUGAGUGAAGAAGGCCUUCGGGUUGUAAAGCUCUUUUGUCAGGGAAGAAACGGUGCGGGCUAAUAUCCCGCACUAAUGACGGUACCUGAAGAAUAAGCACCGGCUAACUACGUGCCAGCAGCCGCGGUAAUACGUAGGGUGCAAGCGUUAAUCGGAAUUACUGGGCGUAAAGCGUGCGCAGGCGGUUUUGUAAGUUUGUCGUGAAAUCCCCGGGCUCAACCUGGGAAUUGCGACGAAGACUGCAAGGCUAGAAUCUGGCAGAGGGGGGUAGAAUUCCACGUGUAGCAGUGAAAUGCGUAGAGAUGUGGAGGAACACCGAUGGC